AACACUUUAUCAAUUGGAAUGUCUCCUGAGGAAUUCCGGAAAGAAAUUACAGAAUUUCUUGUUAUUUCGGAUAAACUCAAUGAUUCUUGGGAACUUCGAAUUGGCAGGAAUAAUUUAAAUGAAGAAGUUCCUUAUUUGCUGAAAAAAGGAACAAAGAUUUCUUCCCGAGGAAAAAUUUUCAGCAUUGAAUUUCAUGUGAUAUACCAUUUUCUCACGAAGAUGUUUGGAGUCUCCUCAAGAUAGAAGAUUCUUCUCGUGAUUUUCUGUCUGUACUCACUCAAAUGGAUCAUCCGGCACACUUUCGACCACUCUGGACACUGCAUCCUUGCAAGACAUCAGAGAUCCUCGAAGGAAUUACUGGAAAUAGAAUUGUCGCAUUCUUGAGCGCUAUAGGACCAAGUAUAGGCAUCAAACUAAAUCUUGAAUAUGGUCUAGCGAUCUUAUGAGUCGGAUACUUUUAUAAAGUGGUGAGAUUCUUUUCAUUUACACUAGACGACAACAUUUUAUUACAAAGUUGGAAGCGUUGAAAAUAGAAGUUAGAAAUUUUUCAUAUCUGUCUGAUUACAAAGGCCUCUACACACUAGGUGAAAAUUUUGCAAAAAAAUGGUUUUUGUUAAAGAAAAUUUGCAGGCGGAAUCGUCAAAAUAUUCAAAGAAAAGGCCAUUUUUUACAAAAUUUGCUUUCAAGGGCUACAACAAAUAUGGUGUAAAACAAUUUUUCGGCUCUUAGUUAUUGAAAUAUAAUUUUGUCCGAUUUAUUUCUCUAAAUUUGUCAUUGUAACAACUAUCUCCGUUUUAGAUAAUUUAGCCAUUACAAUUGAAAUUGUUAUAUUUACGGUAGACUCUUUCUAAUUCGGUUGAAUUCAUUGGAUUACUAUAGUCACUCUGGAAUUUCUCAAUAACUUGGAUGACAUUUUGGUCCCAAAUUUCCGGAUUUGAGGAAUUCUUCUGUAUAUAUACAACAUCUCUGAAUUCAAGUCAAGAUCGUAAUUUUUGAAAAAAAAAAAACAUUAGAAGUAGAUUUUUAUUUAUGUAAAUAAAGAAAAAUAUAGCAAAAA